GAAGAAGAAGAAGAAGAAGAAGAAGAAGAAGAAGAAGAAAAAAUAAUUAUUAAAUGAGAGUUGUAGUUCCCAGAAGGGAGAGAACUCUGCAGGAGGUGGUCAAAGAGGGCUCCCUGGAGGGGGCAAAGGCCAGGAUUGAAUAGCGUGCAAAUUCCAGGACAAGGCCUCUGAAAGAACUCCCUGUGGGUGUUAGGGUGGUUCCCAGAGAAAAGGUCCCAACUGUGAGCCACACAAACCCCAAGAGCUGUCUACAGUAGUUCCACGCCUUGUUUAGGACUUGUGUCUCCAGGAAGGGCCAAUAGGUCAUGGAUGGUUUUCUCACUAACUCCUGAGAGGCCAGCCUGCUGUAACCAUCCACAAAAGAGAUCCCUGGGCGUUCAGCCAUCUUAUCGCUCCCUCCAGAUGCAGCAACACAAGACAGCUGCCAUGCACCAAAGCUCUUGGGUAUCAGUGUUGUUUGUGCUCAGAGAGACUCAAGUUCAAAUUCUUCUCCUUAGGAGGACUGUCACUGGAGACGGGAGCCAUCAGUCAUUCACCUCUGUAGCACUGUCAGAGGCUGUGAGGUGAUCAGAGAUGAAGUGAGACAAUGGUCAUGGACAUUGGCUUGCAGUGUUGUGUGUGCGCGUGUGUGUGCGCGCGCGUGCGCGUGCGUGCAUGUCAGAUACUUACCAUGGCACAUAUGUGAAGGAGAGGACAACCUCAGGUCUAAGUUUACACUUCUAUCUUGCUUCAGGCAGGGCCUUUGGUUCACAGCACACACUAGGCUACCUGGCCUCCACUGGUGUGCUCUGGUAUUGCGAGCAUCCCCCACCCCCCCCAAGAUUCUUCCUCUCCAGACUGUAGAAUGUUGACCUGAGGUGGAGCCUGGGGAAAUGCUGGCAUGUUUGCUUUAAUGGGAAUGUUCUAGUGAGGAGAGAUAUUUAGCUCCUCGGACCUGCCAUGGCUUCUGCCUUCCCAGGGACUCAAUUGCUCAAAUUCCCCCCCCCCUGGAAAUUUAAUAAAUCUAUUAUUAUGGUUUUUCAGGUUGAUUAUUAUGGCUUGGGAUGUGAAGCAGGUUAAUACGUUAUUUUGUUGCCUUCCCAGCUCUCUCCUGCUGCUGCUCAGAAUAUGGUGUCUUUACUGAGUUAAAGGAAGGAGCCCCCUUUCUGGGUGGGCAAAUUAGAAAAAGCUGCGCUUUCCUUGUGGCAGACAUAACCUCUCAUCAGGGUGAAAUGCUCGGCGGGUGGAAUGUGAGGCUGGGUUUCAGGCUUCUCUCCAGUGCCGUCUGUGGUCGGGGCCCCUCUGCGCAGUGCACAGGCUAUAUAAUCGUUCACAAUGGCCCCGCCUGCCUACCGCUUGUUUCCUGGACGAUUGGCCGUCUGUCCCCAAGUGUCCUUCAUAAUAUGAAGUAUUGGUCCAGGUUUUUUGAGAUAGGGUCUCAGGUAGAGGCUGGCUUUGAUCCUUCUGCCUCAGCCUCCCAAGUGAUCCGAAUCUUCUGAUGAACAACCUCCGGGCUUUAGAGGAAGCUUCUCCUGAGCCCAUUCCCACGCCAGUGCUGGGACUGAGCCUAUGACCUCAUAGGGGCUCAGUACACACUCCACCACUGAGCUCCAUCCUCAGUCUAACAGACACUCCUGAAAGGUUCCAAGGAUACUCUUCCCUCCCACACGGGGACAAAACUAGUUGACAAGACAGUGCCUUGCAGGCGAUGGGGACAGUGACAUGGAAAUCACCCCCAAGGGACUAGUGACGACAGGAAGAAAGAUCCCAAGGGAGGCCUCACCAGUUCCUUUCACAGGCAGGCCGCCACACCUUCCCGGAGGAGGAGAACCCUCCCAUCACACGGGUUAUGCUGCUUUUCAUCGAGGAACCUGAAUAGAUGCGUGCAAGUCACGACUGUCUCCUGUCAGGGGACAUCAUGUAGGCUCCCUGCCUCUAUGGCGGCAGAAAGCAGUGUGGGACUCUGGUGUGACUUAGUGGCAUGUAUGAAGUCCUGGGUUCCAGCCCAGCCCAGCACCAGCACUGUCAACUAAGAGGGCAUUUAAGGGUGUGAGCCUGUAGCAAGGUACAUCUGGGGUUCAAAUCUCAACUUUGUCCCUUUCUAGCUCUGUGGCCUGGAUGUAUUAACCUCUUAUAGUUUUAUAGUUAUCUGUUUAUUUAGGAUUUUAAAGACAGGUUCUCACCAUGAAGCCUUGGCUGGCCCGAAACUCACUAUUUAGACCAGGCUGGCUUUGAACUCAGAGAGUGCUGGGAUUAAAGGUGUGCACCAUCAUGCCUGGCUUCUUAAGAACUUUAAGACGUAUAUGUUAUUCUUGGCUUCUUCUACCAUCAAGAAAUUAGGUCUGGGCCUGGAGAGACGGCUCAGUGGUCUUGAAGAAGACCCCAGGGUUGAGUCUCAGCAUCUAUGUUGCCUGGGUCACAACUGCUUGUCAUCCCGGAUCCAGGAUAUCAGAUGCCUUAUUCUGGGAUUUGUGGGCACCCACGUACAAGUGGUACACACACACACACACACACACACACACACACACACACACACACCAUGAUAAGAGAGAGAGAAACCAUGUCUCUCCUCUUCCUCUCCUUUUCAACCUGGAUGGGGAUUUGGGAGCACCAGAAGUUCCCCAAAUGUCGCAAAUGACAUAGUGACUUCUAAGUCUCAGCUGUGAAAGCUCACGUAACUUCCCGUGGCUCCUUUCAGAGCACUCAUGCUGGAAUUCUUCAGUUGCCACGAAAGAAAGCCAGCUACCCAGAAUCCUAAGGGGACACCUGAGAAGCCACCACCACCCAGCCCGAGUUACCUGUGUUGUCCUUGUUGGAGCCCCCAAUGUGUGGAUGAAGGCCUGCAGGUUCCCCGAAAACUCAAGGCCCCGAGUGAGAAGCACCAUGCCAGCCCAGUCACCCAAAUCCACACACAAGAGAGAUGGUUACCAUUGUUCUUUUUUUUUUCAAGGGUUACCAUUGUUCUGAGCCCACUGUUUGGGGGUGCUCUAUUAGGACACAGCAGACGUUGAUGUAGACUUUUUUGUUACCUGGAAGCCAACUGCCACCAUAACAAAACCGAGGUCUAGUACUCCCAAUUUGAUGUGCCCAUACCCUGAUCACGUGACUGAUUUAACCAACUCCCUUAUCAUUCAAAUGAGUUCAAUACCAAAUGGACAGGAAGUGGACAUCAUAUACAUCUGCGACACAAAAGGUGUGGAGAGCUGUUAGUGUGUGUCUGCCUGGGAAGGAAGUAGGUGAGUGGCGAUGGUCACAAGGUCACGUAGACUCACAGUGGCCAGGGAACAGAGGGAAGGGCAGAGCCCAGGCAGGGACCUGGGAAUGCUGGGGCUGCAGUUCUGGAAGGAAGUCAUAAUGAACAAGAGGCAAUGUCCCAGGGAUGCAGAGGCAGGGAACUCAUCCAGGUAAUGCAAAGCCCAGAGGCUGUCCAAGAUGUGCAGCACAGGAGGGGGGGUGGUGCAUAUACUAUCCGAAAUCCCAUGUGAAUCAAGUUCAAAGUCGGGUAGCGUUAACUGAUGGCAAAAGAAAUUUGUGAGUGUGGUUACAUAGAGUUGGAUGGAUAAUCCCUGUAGGAAGGGGCUCCAGGGAACCUUCUGGGACAUUCUGCAAAUAUUCUGUACUUCAUGCAGAUGGGGUAUAUCUGUAUCCAAGUUCAUGGGGGAGGCUAUACCUUCAAGACCAGUGUGUAUCUUGACUUUCCCCAGAGACCCUGGAAGCGUGUUGGUGUACCCUGCCUUCAUGCAGGAAGUCCCUUUAGGAAUUUCCCACCUGCCAGCCAUGGGAGUCUCUCCUGCACCCCACACCCCUGAGCGACUGUGGAGAGCUGCAUCUCUCCACUUGGCUUGAAACAGCGUGACCUUUUGGAGUUGCAGCAUGGGGACCUGCUCCUGGGACAAUAGAGAGGGAGAUCUGGAAUGUUCUUUGAGGUUGGUGAGCAUGUGGGUGUGUCUCCUCCUCUCAGCCACCUAAAGAGCCAGGCUGUUGGGAGCUGGGAAGCAUUUAAAUAAGACCAACAGAAACGUGAUUGGUGUGUCGGGGGCUGGUUCCUCAAAGGGGAGCAGGAAGGACAGGCACUGGGGCUUAGGACCAAGUCAAGAGCUUGCUUGCCCUGCUCAAAGCUCUGCUUGGAGUCCGGGUGGCAUCCCUCGGGAGGCUUCUUGUCAACUGCAGCGGUGGGUUACGCGUUUCAUUCAGAAUGCCCAGCAGGAAGCGACAGGCUCUACAUUCCAGGGCUUUUAGUCAUUUUCUCUUGCUGAGCUCUGGAGUUGAGAUUAGGACUUUCUUCAAACCUCACUGUCCUGGCCUGGUCUCCCAAGAGGAAGUGGGUGGGUCACUGUGCUCCGGAGAGAACACAGGCCCAAACUCAGGGAUCAAGGCCAGCAGAGCAAAUCCACAGAGGUCAGCUGAAGGUGUCCCAGGUAUGUCAAAGGGAUGUGAGUUGUGGGGUGGUAGCUCUUGCUCCCCAGCCACAGGCCAAGGAGAACACAGAGUCUCUCUCUGUGUGGUGUCUCUGUGCAUGUGAGAUGCACAGUGGGGACAGACAGGCCACGUAGCAACAUUUCAUCCCACUGAACCGCACACUCAAGCUUUGCUUUGUUCCCAGUCCGAGGGAGAGAAGGACCUGGACUCUCCACACUGAGAGGACAGUGGUGACACAUGUCCAGAUUUGGAGCAGGGAAUGGACCCCACGGAUACAACCCAGAGAAACCACAAGUUUGUUAGAAUGUCCGCUAUACUCCUGGCACUGAGCCCCCGGGUCGGGAAUAGACCAGCGUGCAAGAGAGACUCCAUCCCAGUCGUCACCAAAGCACCUGGGACAUGUGGCCUGGCAGGUGCCCACUAGGGUAAGGGAGAGAGCAUGUUAAGGCAGAGUGCUGGUAGACACCAGAUGCCAGGAGUGGGAAGGGAGUAGGCGAGUGUGGAUGGCGGAGAAGGCACGUAGCUGUAGGAAGGGCAGAGGCCAGUCUAGAGCUUGGCGGUGUGUGUGUGUGUGUGUGUGUGUGUGUGUGUGUGUGUGUGUGUGUGUGUGUGUCAUACCUACCACUCUGAAAGAAAGACAUGCUACGUGGGAGGCGACGUCCCCAGUUGCCGAGGCAGGGCUCCUGGGUCACAGAAAGCCCAGAGCCAGGCCCCGAGAGGAGAGCGAAGAGCUUACCCUCUUCUCCAAGGGUGGGGGGCAGAAAGAUAAACACACAGUCCUGACCCAGCACUGCAGCCAUGUCUGGGCUCUGUGAGGAGUCAGAACUCUAACUAAGAUUCCCAAGACUUCCCAGCCUGUUCCCACAUGAGGAUGGGCUCUCAGACCCACAAUCCAGGAACUCUCAGAAGGCAAAAAGGAUUCUAAGAUGGAAUUAAGGCUACCGAUGAGCGACGGGGAGCUCCUGAAAGGAUGGCGGCUCUUCAGUUGAGAGCAGGACACGACGUCAUCGGUUGCCAGCUUAGAUAUCUGGUGGUGAUUUGAAGACAGAGGGGCCUGCAUGGAGGAAAGAACCUCAGAGAGGCAGCUUCUAGGAGCUGGCAUCCAGCAGGAAGCUGUGACCUUCCGUCCUAUAGCCAGAGGAGCUGAAUUUUGCCACCGGCGAGAACGGUUUAGAUUGGAGUUUCUAGAAACCAGCCCAGCCAGCUGAAUCCUCGAUUGUUUGGCCAUCUGAGCUGACAGCCCAGCUGGGCCCACCUGGACUAAUGAUCUGCAGAACUGUGAAUAAUAAACAGGUGUUUUAAGUGGCUAA